CACGUAGGGUGCGAGCGUUGUCCGGAAUUAUUGGGCGUAAAGAGCUCGUAGGCGGCUUGUCGCGUCGACUGUGAAAUCCCGCGGCUCAACUGCGGGUCUGCAGUCGAUACGGGCAGGCUAGAGUUCGGUAGGGGAGACUGGAAUUCCUGGUGUAGCGGUGAAAUGCGCAGAUAUCAGGAGGAACACCGGUGGCGAAGGCGGGUCUCUGGGCCGAUACUGACGCUGAGGAGCGAAAGCGUGGGGAGCGAACAGG
rnacentral:rRNA from 1 species